CCGGAUGGCGACCGGCGCACGGGUGAGUAACACGUAUCCAACCUGCCGUCUACUCUUGGACAGCCUUCUGAAAGGAAGAUUAAUACCCGAUGGCAUAGUUCUUCCGCAUGGUAGAACUAUUAAAGAAUUUCGGUCAUCGAUGGGGAUGCGUUCCAUUAGGUUGUUGGCGGGGUAACGGCCCACCAAGCCUUCGAUGGAUAGGGGUUCUGAGAGGAAGGUCCCCCACAUUGGAACUGAGACACGGUCCAA
rnacentral:rRNA from 1 species